CCUACGGGAGGCAGCAGUAGGGAAUCUUCCACAAUGGGCGAAAGCCUGAUGGAGCAACGCCGCGUGGGUGCAGAAGGUCUUCGGAUCGUAAAACCCUGUUGUUAGAGAAGAAAGUGCGUGAGAGUAACUGUUCACGUGUCGACGGUAUCUAACCAGAAAGCCACGGCUAACUACGUGCCAGCAGCCGCGGUAAUACGUAGGUGGCAAGCGUUAUCCGGAUUUAUUGGGCGUAAAGGGAACGCAGGCGGUCUUUUAAGUCUGAUGUGAAAGCCUUCGGCUUAACCGGAGUAGUGCAUUGGAAACUGUGAGACUUGAGUGCAGCAGAGGAGAGUGGAACUCCAUGUGUAGCGGUUAAAUGCGUAGAUAUAUGGAAGAACACCAGUGGCGCACGCGGCUCUCUGGUCUGUACCUGACGCUGAGGUUCGAAAGCGUGGGUAGCAAACAGGAUUAGAUACCCGAGUAGUC
rnacentral:rRNA from 1 species